AUACGUAGGGUGCAAGCGUUAAUCGGAAUUACUGGGCGUAAAGCGUGCGCAGGCGGUUUUGUAAGACAGUGGUGAAAUCCCCGGGCUCCACCUGGGAACUGCCAUUGUGACUGCAAGGCUGGAGUGCGGCAGAGGGGGAUGGAAUUCCGCGUGUAGCGGUGAACUGCGUAGAUAUGCGGAGGAACACCGAUGGCGAAGGCAAUCCCCUGGGCCUGCACUGACGCUCAUGCACGAAAGCGUGAGGAGCAAACAGGAUUAGAUACCCUGGUAGUCCACGCCCUAAACGAUGUCAACUGGUUGUUGGGGAUUUAUUUUCUCAGUAACGAAGCUAACGCGUGAAGUUGACCGCCUGGGGAGUACGGCCGCAAAGUUAAAACUCAAAUGAAUUGACGGGG
rnacentral:rRNA from 1 species